UCCCGUUCCCCGCAGUCUCUCACCACCGGGGCUCCUCAUGCCCCUUCUCUCUGCCCGCUACUGUCCAGUCAACUCAUUCUCAGCUCCCUCCAGCCCCCACAUCCCAUCUCCUCCCCUUUCUCAUUCAUCAUUUCUCUUCUCCUCCCCCGAUCCUUUACCCCCAGCAAUAACCAACACUUACGGAACCCCUAACUGCCAGGCGCUGUGGUCGGGUGCUGAUUGACCGGAGCGGCCGUCGCUUUGGUACAGUCCUCAAUUACCUGCGGGAUGGGUCUGUGCCACUGCCGGAGAGUACGAGGGAACUGGGGGAGCUGCUGGGCGAAGCACGCUACUACCUGGCGCAGGGCCGGAUUGAGGACUGCCGGCUGGCGCUGCAGUGGUCUCUGCUCUUAAUAAGGCCUGGUGCGUGAACUGCUUUGCCUGUUCUACCUGCAACACUAAAUUAACACUCAAGGAUAAGUUUGUUGAAAUUGACCUAAAGCCAGUCUGCAAACACUGUUAUGAGAAAAUGCCAGAAGAAUUUAAGAGGCUACUUGCCAAACGGGAGAGAGAAGCAAAGGAUAAGGACAAGCAGAAAAAGAAAAAGCCAGUCUGUUUGUUUGUAAACUUUUCUAUCCCUGUGUCAUCAUUUUCACUGCUUUCUCCUUUGGUUAGUCCUUUGGAAUAUGUUUUUGUUCUGUUUCUGUCUUUUGCUUUCUUCCCUCCCUGCAACUUUUGGGCGUGUAUUUGUAGUCAUCAGAAAUUUGGGCCAAGGGGAGCGGAUCACGAGGUCAGGAGAUCGAGACUAUCCUGGCUAACACGGUGAAACCCCGUCUCUACUAAAAAUACAAAAAAAAACAUUAGCCAGGCAUGGUGGCGGUUGCCUGUAGUCCCAGCUCCUCGGGAGGCUGAGGCAGGAGAAUGGCUUGAACCCAGGAGGCG
rnacentral:lncRNA from 1 species